GACGAACGCUGGCGGCGUGCCUAAUACAUGCAAGUCGAGCGCAGGAAAUCGACGGAACCCUUCGGGGGGAAGUCGACGGAAUGAGCGGCGGACGGGUGAGUAACACGUAAAGAACCUGCCCUCAGGUCUGGGAUAACCACGAGAAAUCGGGGCUAAUACCGGAUGGGUCAUCGGACCGCAUGGUCCGAGGAUGAAAGGCGCUUCGGCGUCGCCUGGGGAUGGCUUUGGGGUGCAUUAGCUAGUUGGUGGGGUAAUGGCCCACCAAGGCGACGAUGCAUAGCCGACCUGAGAGGGUGAUCGGCCACACUGGGACUGAGACACGGCCCAGACUCCUACGGGAGGCAGCAGUAGGGAAUCUUCCACGAUGGACGAAAGUCUGAUGGAGCAACGCCGCGUGAACGAUGAAGGCCUUCGGGUCGUAAAGUUCUGUUGUAAGGGAAGAACAAGUGCCGCAGGCAAUGGCGGCACCUUGACGGUACCUUGCGAGAAAGCCACGGCUAACUACGUGCCAGCCGCCGCCGUAA
rnacentral:rRNA from 1 species